AACAUCAUUCCCAUCUGUAGAUGUUUUUUUUUUGCAUGACUUUAUAAUAUCUAAAACUUCUUUCUCAUCAACCGCUCUCAAGAACAUUGAACUUGGAUUAAUUUCAAUACCAUCUCCUACUGCUCUUGCCUGCUCUAUCGACGGGUCACUGAUACCCUCAGCCAAUUUCGGUCCUACAUUCACGAAAAAUGCAUUCAAAUCAUUGACUGCAUCUUCCACAUUGUUUAUGGUCUUGUCAUUAUCCAUGAAGCGUUCAGGAUACUUUGUGUUCGCAGCUCCCUUCCGGAUAAUACUGUUUAAAACCUUCCAUAUCCCUUUACUAUUGUUUCUAUUUUUUUCUAUUAACUUGCUGUAGUAAUCCUUCUUGCACCUCCUCAUAAUUUGUGUCAGCUUAUUUUUACAUCUUUUGUACUUAAUUUCUGUCUCUAUGGUUCUAUGCUUUAUAAAUUCUCGAUACAUAGAAUUUUUCUUUUUACUGGCAUUUUGUAGACCUUUUGUGAUCCAUGGGGACUCUGUAUACUUAUGCUUCCUAUUGCAUUGCUUUAGUGGGCAGUUUUUAUCAUACAAUGACAUAAAUCUUUCUAGGAAUAUAUCAUAUGCUAUGUCUACAUUACACUCGUUAUACACACAAUUCCAAUUUUCCGUCAAUAGAUCUGCUCUGAAAGCACUCAGGGAUUCUGAUGUUCUCACCCUCCUGUAAACGUUACUUCCAUCCUUACAUUACUACAAUCACAGUCAUAAACCACAAAAACAGGCAAAUGGUCACUUAUGUCAUUCAGCAAAAACCCACUAAUGAUAUUGUUUGACUGUAUUUGUGAAUAUGUUAUCAAUGAGAGUGGCACAAUGUGAUGUUACUCUGCUUGGCUUGGUGAUCAUGGGCAAGAGACACAAACUAAACAAUGUAUCAUAGAACUCGUCAGUCUGUUUGUUUGUUGGGAUCUAUAUUGAGAUCACCACGGAUGAAGUUCAGUUUCUGAUUUGUAUUGGCAAAUAAUCCCUCCAUAAUGUCCUUAAAAAUGUCAAUGCUGGAGCCAGGAGCUCGAUAAACACAACUAACAAUUACAUUUCUUUUUUUUCCCAUGUCGAUUUCUAUGGCAAUACAUUCCAUUACGUCAGCAAUAGUUACACUCAUAUUUUCGAUCAUCUUGAAGUUGAGAUUCUGGUCUACAAACAAGGCCACUCCCCCUCCCUUCUUAUCCAUCCUACUCUUGUACUUGAGCUCAUAACCUUUUAACUCAAAAUCUGCACCCUUCUCGGAGUUAAUCCAAGUCUCAGAAAUAGCUACAAUAUUGAAUUGCUUCUUAAAAUGGUAUAAGUACUCCUUAAUAUGUUGAAAAUCGGCGUGAAGGCUUCUGCUAUUAAAAUGGAUAAUUGACAGUCCUUGAUUUACAUUGAUUUUGGCAUUAAAUUGGUCAUCUGUAUAAUAACCACAAUUGCUGUUGACAUUCUUAAAGAAGUUGCUAACAGGGUCAAUGUUAUAUUCAAAUGCAUGUUAUGUUCUGUGAGUUCAAGUACAUCAGAAGAGUCUAAUGCCAUUUCAGUCUACAGUCAUUUCCACAGGUAGCCAGUCCAUAAUAGACAGCAUUGUUACCUUGUGUAGUUGUCCGAUUGUCACUGAUACUUGUUCAAUUCUUCUAUACUUCUGACGACCAUCCCUCUGGAUUCCUCUGGUGUUCUGUUCAGCUUUAUAUAGACUUUGCAAUUUGCUGUCUAUGUGGAUUGGCUCUUUCUGUUCUUUCGUAAAAAGCGAGCUUUCUUGGCGACAUCUGCAUUCUUUUUGGUCAAGUGCUCAUUCAGGUAAACGUCGGAUCCUCUCAGCAUUUUCUUUUGUUUUAACAGUGCCGUUUUAUGUUUUCGGUUUGCAAAUCUCAGUAUUACAGCAGGUUUGUCGCUUGUCCUUCUCUGCGGGAGUGGGUGACAGGCCUCUAUGCUAUGCCCGUCCAGUUCUAUGCCCUUGGAUAGGAAAAAGGCUGUCAUCUGUUGUUCCGCGCUGGCUGGGUCGGCCUGGUUGGUCUCAUCAAAACCCGCCACCGCCCGGGCAAAUGACCGGGGUUUAAUCGCAAGUCCAGUGACAUAUAUGUCAUUCAUUCUUGUGUACUGCUCAAGGUCCAACACUCGAUUUUCCAAAUGUGCAAUUGUUUUCUCCUUCUCAUUGAGUUGUAGUCGUAGCAUUCUAACUUCUUCAACCAAGUUGAGAAUUGCUCCACUCUGACGGCCUCCAUCUCCGCAGUCAGAAUAUCGAGCGCUUCCUUAAGCUCCUUUUCCACUUUCGUUGGCAUGGUAACAAGGUGGUAAAAAGAGUGUCCAACAGAGUUUCAACACUGGCUCAGAGGCACCGUGAUGGCAACGCGUCCAAGCUAGGCAGAAAAUACUGCUCCAAGCGUAUUUUUCUUUCACUCUUGAGAUCCUUGGUUUUGUUAAUUCCUCUCCACGUUCGUUUCUUUGGCUCUUGAAAGCUGCUGCGUGGCGAGCGUUAGCUGCGUGGCGAGCGUUAGCUGCGUGCCUGUAAAGUAAAAUAGCGGCAGUACAGGGCUAAGAGUGCCUGGCAUUAACAACCAGUUGCAGAUGGUGACUGCUUUAGCUUAGCGUAUUCAGGUACUUACACACAGGGGCUCCACCUGGAGCCCACUGCGUUUGUUUAGUAUAGGUAAAAAUGGUGAUCAUCAGGAAUACUUCAGGCAGCAACACUUACCCACCCUGGUCCAACAAGUGGACCCGCUGCGUUGAUUAGGCACGAGGGUGGAUAGGCUGCUGUUUAGUCCUGUAGUGUCCUCUUUGAGAUGAAACUCCAGAUCCAAGAUUUUCCUUUCACUCUUGAGAUCCUUGGUUUUGUUAAUCCCUCCGUUCAGCAACCACGAACAAAUCUGACUCGAGGAUAUGAUCCAAUAGGAACAGAGCAUUUCUUUGAUUAGCAUCUAAAUCAACCAAUAGAUGAGCUCUGUACGUCGCCCUCACGCGAUUGAUAAUCAGUCAACCACGGUGAAAUAAGCCCUAUUUGGCUGCAAUCAAUUCAGUUGUGUGUGCAGAUCAAGAACAUUUGGUCUUCACUGCGUUAUUUACUGAUCAUAAAUCUUGUCUCAUUCGCCAAUCAAAUUCUUUGGCCUCUUGAACUGGAAAAAAAACAUGCUACAAGAAGAGUCUUCCUCAUGGCUCCUCCUGUCCACAGUUUUUUCCAGGAAACUCAGCUAAUUUCGCCUUCUCAUCAAUCAAACACAUGUUGAUUAGUCAGGAAAGUGCUUAAACGCGUGCCUUUCCAACAGCUUACAUCACUUCCUAAUCGGUUCUUUAGUCACUUUUCAAUCAUCUUCCGAUUGUUUACAGCAAAAGUUUGAAAUGUUUGAGAAGAAGUUUAACUUUAUGGUACGACACCAAAUGUAUUAGAAAAUCCAUCUGUCAUAAAGUGUUGUAUUAUUAUUAUCUUCCACUAUCUUUUGGAAGGACGGGUUCUUUACUACAUUUGAUUCUAUCAUGAUUUAAUAUGACUUUACUUUCCAAAACACUUCUCAGUUUCCCAGUUCACACAUCUUCUGCAUGUGUUACUAGUUCUCCAGUUUUCUUUUGUUUUCUCUAUUUUCCCCCCAGUUAAUUAAAAGAACCCCUAUUUUCUCUUUUAGCAUUAAAUUUGCUCAAAAUCACUCUUACUUCAAAGUUGUUCUACUAACUUUCCCAUAGUAGUCUCCAACACCUUCAACCAUUCAACCUGUACAACCUCAUCCUCAGUCGUUCAUUCUUGCUCAUUUGCAUCUCUCACACACACACACACACACACACA